rnacentral:rRNA from 1 species
UACGUAGGGUGCGAGCGUUAAUCGGAAUUACUGGGCGUAAAGCGUGCGCAGGCGGUGCUGUAAGACCGAUGUGAAAUCCCCGGGCUUAACCUGGGAACUGCAUUGGUGACUGCAGCGCUGGAGUAUGGCAGAGGGGGGGUGGAAUUCCAGGUGUAGCGGUGAAAUGCGUAGAUAUCUGGAGGAACACCGGUGGCGAAGGCGGCAUCCUGGACCGGUAUUGACACUGAGGCGCGAAAGCCAGGGGAGCAAACGGG